rnacentral:rRNA from 1 species
UUUCGCAAUGCCCGAAAGGGUGAUGAAGCGACGCCGCGUGUGGGAAGAAGGCCUUCGGGUUGUAAACCACUGUCGGGAGUUAGGAAAUGCAGGUGCGUUAAUAGCGCACUUGCUUGACUAAGGCUCCAGAGGUAGCCACGGCUAACUCUGUGCCAGCAGCCGCGGUAAUACAGAGGCGGCAAGCGUUGUUCGGAAUUAUUGGGCGUAAAGAGCACGUAGGCGGCCUUGCAAGUCAGUUGUGAAAGCCUUCCGCUUAACGGAAGAACGGCAUCUGAUACUACAGGGCUUGAGUACGGGAGGGGGGAGUGGAACUUCUGGUGGAGCGGUGAAAUGCGUAGAUAUCAGAAGGAACGCCGGCGGCGAAAGCGACUCUCUGGUCCGAAACUGACGCUGAGUGUGCGAAAGCUAGGGGAGCAAACGGGAUUAGAUACCCCGGUAGUCCUAGCCGUAAACGAUGGGCACUAAGUAGAGGGGUUUU